GUGCUCGCUUCGGCAGCACAUAUACUAAAAUUGGAAUGAUACAGAGAAGAUUAAUUAGCAUGGCCUCUGCGCAAGGAUGAAAAAAAUGAAAAAAAAAAAUUAAAUAAUUAA